AACGCGAAGAACCUUACCAGCUCUUGACAUCCCGAUGAAAGCAUUAGAGAUAGUGCCCCUCUUCGGAGCAUUGGAGACAGGUGGUGCAUGGUUGUCGUCAGCUCGUGUCGUGAGAUGUUGGGUUAAGUCCCGCAACGAGCGCAACCCUUGAUCUUAGUUGCCAGCAGGUAAGGCUGGGCACUCUAAGGUGACUGCCGGUGACAAACCGGAGGAAGGUGGGGAUGACGUCAAAUCAUCAUGCCCCUUAUGAGCUGGGCUACACACGUACUACAAUGGCCGGUACAACGGGAAGCGAAGCCGCGAGGUGGAGCCAAUCCUAUCAAAGCCGGUCUCAGUUCGGAUUGCAGGCUGCAACUCGCCUGCAUGAAGUCGGAAUUGCUAGUAAUCGCGGAUCAGCAUGCCGCGGUGAAUACGUUCCCGGGCCUUGUACACACCGUAGUAC
rnacentral:rRNA from 1 species